AAGCAUAGCGACUGUGGGGCAGAGUCAGAGAGGGGAGGAUACAGACUUGGGAGGGCAGAGACUCAGAAACAGAAUGUUCCCAUUAGGGACAUGGUGUUGCGGGGAGCUGCCUCCCCCAGCCCCUGCUCCCUCCCUUACCGCCAGACUAUGAUGAGAGAAGCCACCUGCAUGACACCUUCACCCAGAUGGCCCAUGCCCUGCAGGAGCUGGCUGCUGCCCAGGGAUCCUUUGAGACUGCCUUCCCUGAUGCUGCGGAGAAAAUGAAGAAGGUCAUUACACAGCUUAAAGAAGCCCAGGCUUGCAUCCCUCCCUGCGGUAAGGACUUCAUCUAAAACUUGGAAUUGCGGGGUAAGGGAGGCGGUCGGGGCCGAAACGUACGACAUCAAGUGUGGGAAAUCGGGUGGGCUUCACAUCCUUAGGAGGCCAAUAAGAUCCCUGGAGAAAAGGAAGUAAACCAAGUAUUGCUCUAAAUCCUCA
rnacentral:sRNA from 1 species